GUGCUGCUUCAGCAGCACAUGUGCAAAUGUCAGAAUGAUACAGAAAAGAUUCUUAUGGCUCCUGCCCAAGAACUACAUACACAUUUGUGAAGCAUUCCACAUAUUU